ACACGACUACAUUAGAUACCCCUGUAGUCCAGGGUGUAAACGCUGCGGGCUUGGUGUUGGGGGUCCUUUGAGGGCGCCCAGUGCCGGAGAGAAGUUGUUAAGCCUGCUGCUUGGGGAGUACGUCCGCAAGGAUGAAACUUAAAGGAAUUGGCGGGGGAGCACCGCAACGGGAGGAGCGUGCGGUUCAAUUGGAUUCAACGCCGGACAACUCACCAGGAGCGACGGUUACAUGAAGGCCAGGCUGAUGACCUUGCCUGAUUUUCCG
rnacentral:rRNA from 1 species